UUGGAAGUAAAAAGUCGUAACAAGGUCUCCGUAGGUGAACCUGCGGAGGGAUCAUUACACAAAUAUGAAGGCGGGCUGGAACCUCUCGGGGUUACAGCCUUGCUGAAUUAUUCACCCUUGUCUUUUGCGUACUUCUUGUUUCCUUGGUGGGUUCGCCCACCACUAGGACAAACAUAAACCUUUUGUAAUUGCAAUCAGCGUCAGUAACAAAUUAAUAAUUACAACUUUCAACAACGGAUCUCUUGGUUCUGGCAUCGAUGAAGAACGCAGCGAAAUGCGAUAAGUAGUGUGAAUUGCAGAAUUCAGUGAAUCAUCGAAUCUUUGAACGCACAUUGCGCCCUUUGGUAUUCCAAAGGGCAUGCCUGUUCGAGCGUCAUUUGUACCCUCAAGCUUUGCUUGGUGUUGGGCGUCUUGUCUCUAGCUUUGCUGGAGACUCGCCUUAAAGUAAUUGGCAGCCGGCCUACUGGUUUCGGAGCGCAGCACAAGUCGCACUCUCUAUCAGCAAAGGUCUAGCAUCCAUUAAGCCUUUUUUCAACUUUGACCUCGAUCAGUAGGAUCCCCCGCC
rnacentral:rRNA from 1 species